CGUGCAGGCGGCUCGAUAAGUUGGAUGUGAAAGCUCCCGGCUCAACUGGGAGAGGACGUUCAAAACUGUCGGGCUAGAGGACGGUAGAGGAAGGUGGAAUUCCCGGUGUAGUGGUGAAAUGCGUAGAUAUCGGGAGGAACACCAGUGGCGAAGGCGGCCUUCUGGGCCGUACCUGACGCUCAGACGCGAAAGCUAGGGGAGCGAACG
rnacentral:rRNA from 1 species